UAAUUGUAAUAAUUAAGACUCAAAAAUUAUACAGAUUGAAGUUUCCAUUGAAACUUCCGUUGACAUAUGGUUAUAAUUUAAUGGAGGAACAUGGUGAAUGAUGACUUUGGAUUCUAAGUUCUAACUAACAAGGUGAACCUCAAUCACUAGAAUAUCUUAUGUAUGUUAGCUCUAUGUCGACGAGGAGUAUGAAAUUAAUUGGUCAAU
rnacentral:lncRNA from 1 species